UUUUGGACAAUGGGGGCAACCCUGAUCCAGCCAUGCCGCGUGAGUGAAGAAGGCCUUCGGGUUGUAAAGCUCUUUUGUCCGGGAAGAAAGGGCACGGGCCAAUACCCCGUGUUGUUGACGGUACCGGGAGAAUAAGCACCGGCUAACUACGUGCCAGCAGCCGCGGUAAUACGUAGGGUGCGAGCGUUAAUCGGAAUUACUGGGCGUAAAGCGUGCGCAGGCGGUUCGUGAAGUCCGAUGUGAAAGCCCUGGGCUCAACCCGGGAAUGGCAUUGGAAACUGGCGGGCUAGAGUGUGGCAGAGGGGGGUGGAAUUCCUGGUGUAGCAGUGAAAUGCGUAGAGAUCAGGAGGAACACCGAUGGCGAAGGCAGCCCCCUGGGCUGACACUGACGCUCAGGCACGAAAGCGUGGGGAGCAAACAGG
rnacentral:rRNA from 1 species